CCCAUUUCUGAUCGGGUUCUAUCAUCUGAGUCGUCUGCGGUCCAAAAUUAUUAUUUUACGUGCGAGUGUUAUAUAAGAUCAGUUAUUUUGGACUACAUCAAAUCUACCAUCAAGGGAAAGUAUGGAGACUCCGGAAAGUGACCAGUUCAAUUCUACUCAGGAAAUGCAGUGUCCAUCAAUUGUGGGCAGGCGAAGUGUGGAGAUGAAAAGUGUCGCGGAGGAGUUCUUCUGUCUCACUGAUGAGACGGACCAAGGGAGGAUGAGUGUGUCAACACGUGGAGCCAGUAUGAGGAGCAGCCACACUCCUGGACACGGCAAACGGAGUGAAUCUGUGCUGCGCAGGACUGUGACCUUGGAUUAUAAUGAUGGUGAUGACUGUGAUGAUACAGAGGGAAUCGCUGAACAUGCAACAAAACCAGAAGUCACAGAAGGGAUGAGUGUACCAGAAACGCAGACAAGGAUGAAAGAUCAGGCCAAGAUACUGUUACCACUAAAGCCUUUCAGUGAGGGAUAUGAGGCUGCAUUCCUCAGGGACAGAAUGCGAAGGCUCUGCAGAAGAUCAGGACCUCCUUUCUUGCUGUUCUCCCCUACGGAAAGCCUGGGGGACAUACUGUACAGGAAAACCAAGCAUGUGUUUGACUACACAGUCACGGACAUGAAAGACAAAAAGCCCGAUGUUUCAAGGUGUGGUUCCAAUCUAAACCAGUGUGUUAAACCAGCCCUUCCAGUACGGAAGGGCUUCAAUGUAUCCACAUCUAGGUACAGCCAGAGAAGGGUACAAUCAAUUGAUCAGAUGACGGUGAUCAGAAAAGAUCAUGUCGGUAGGCCUUUACUGAUGCUGAAAGGCAAUGCAAGUCUAACCAACAGUGAUGGAAGCAACAACACGGAUUCAUUUGCUUAUUCAUCCAGACUCACAAAGGGAAAACCAUCAACCUCCUCUCAGCCAGGACCUGUCAUCAGGAUCCCACCAGUAUUAACCAGGAAGCAUUCUGACAUCAUCAGAGAGGAAAGAAAGAGGCACUACUACAAAGACCUGUGUCAGCAGGUGGAGGAGAAGAGACAACAAAAAGCAAGGGAGAGGAGAAGGAUUACCGCCGCCGAACAAACUCACAAUGAGACAAUGCAGUUCUGCACCUGGGGGAUGCCAGGGAGCGGAGCCCCAAACUACCACCUGGACUCUGUGAGAAGGAACAAGUUCAGUUCCACAGAAAUGAUACCCCAGGAACAGCUCCGCUGUAAAGGCUUCAGCGGGAUCCCUUUUCAUCUGCAUGUCAAAUGACGGCCAUUUUAUGGUCCCCCAGCCCAGACGAUUGAUGCUCAGCUCAGACAACUGAUAAACCCAUUAAACUAACGCAGUAGUAGACCAAACACUGCGCUCUGCUGACUUCUGUCCCAUAGGUGGUAGAUAAGUCAUCGAUUAGCUGGAUUUCAGCACUCCUUGGCACUUGUAUCUAUUGAUUAAUUUACUGUUUCAAACUACCAUGCGGGCAUAACCACACUCAAAACAAUUCUGGAACUAAGGUUUUACACAUUCUGAUGGUGUUCAAAUCAGUUGUAAUGGUAGCGAUGCACAUAAACAGUAAGAUAUAUAUAUAUAUAUAUAUAUCAUACACACACAUAAAUGCUACAGUGGUAAUUGACAGAUCGAUAGCAUGGUGAGAUAAUGAAUAGAAACAGUAGCUCACUAAAGAUAAGACUGUACACAAAAAAAAGCUCCUAACUGGUCGCGAAAGUGAUAAGAUACUGUCUGCCUACAGUCAAAGAAUUCUUCUUUUUUUUUUCAUCAUAUUUUAACCAUUUUAUAUGAGUAAUUUUGUAUGUAUAUUGAAGCCAGAGUUGUAGUGAAAUAAAACUCUCCUGUCAGAUUAAGAGACUGGGUG
rnacentral:lncRNA from 1 species